rnacentral:rRNA from 1 species
UACGAAGGGGGCUAGCGUUGCUCGGAAUUACUGGGCGUAAAGGGCGCGUAGGCGGAUGUUUAAGUCAGAGGUGAAAGCCCAGGGCUCAACCUUGGAACUGCCUUUGAUACUGGGCAUCUUGAGUAUGGGAGAGGUGAGUGGAACUCCGAGUGUAGAGGUGAAAUUCGUAGAUAUUCGCAAGAACACCAGUGGCGAAGGCGGCUCACUGGCCCGAUACUGACGCUGAGGCACGAAAGCGUGGGGAGCAAACAGG